rnacentral:rRNA from 1 species
GAGGCAGCAGUGGGGAAUAUUGCCCCAAUGGGCGCAAGCCUGAUGCAGCGACGCCGCGUGAGGGAUGACGGCCUUCGGGUUGUAAACCUCUUUCAGCAGGGACGAAGCGCAAGUGACGGUACCUGUAGAAGAAGGACCGGCCAACUACGUGCCAGCAGCCGCGGUAAUACGUAGGGUCCGAGCGUUGUCCGGAAUUACUGGGCGUAAAGAGCUCGUAGGUGGUUUGUCGCGUUGUUCGUGAAAACUCACAGCUCAACUGUGGGCGUCCGGGCGAUACGGGCAGACUUGAGUACUGCAGGGGAGACUGGAAUUCCUGGUGUANGGGUGGAAUGCGCAGAUAUCAGGAGGAACACCGGUGGCGAAGGCGGGUCUCUGGGCAGUAACUGACGCUGAGGAGCGAAAGCGUGGGGAGCGAACAGGAUUAGAUACCCUGGUAGUCCACGCCGUAAACGGUGGGUACUAGGUGUGGGUUUCCUUCCUUGGGAUCCGUGCCGUAGCUAACGCAUUAAGUACCCCGCCUGGGGAGUACGGCCGCAAGGCUAAAACUCAAAGAAAUUGACGGGGGCCCGCACAAGCGGCGGAGCAUGUGGAUUAAUUCGAU